rnacentral:rRNA from 1 species
AACGUAGGACGCAAGCGUUAUCCGGAGUUACUGGGCGUAAAGGGCGUGUAGGCGGCCUUGUAAGUCCGUCGUGAAAGCCCCCGGCUAAACUGGGGGAGGACGAGGGAGACUGCCGGGCUAGAGGCAGGUAGAGGGGCAUAGAAUUCCGGGUGUAGUGGUGAAAUGCGUAGAGAUCCGGAGGAAUACCAGAGGCGAAGGCGAUGCCCUGGGCCUGUACUGACGCUGAGACGCGACAGCAUGGGGAGCGAACGGG